GGGGAUAUGGCGGAAUUGGUAGACGCGUCGGGCUUAAAACCUGCUGGUAAUUUGCCGUAAGAGUUCGAGUCUCUUUAUCCUCA
rnacentral:tRNA from 1 species